UUGUUGCGAUGAUAUGCAGAGCUGUUGUGUGGGUCUCUUUUGUCCUUGCUAUUUGUUUGGAAAGAAUGCAGAGUUUUUGGGCUCUGGAACUUUGAUUGGCUCAUGCAUGACCCAUUUUAUUUUGUGGGCUCUUGUCAAUACUGUAUGUUGUUGCAUGACUGGCAUUUUGUUGGGAUUACCUGGAUGCUUUGUUGCAUGUUAUGCCUGUGGUUACCGCAGGGCACUGCGUGAAAAGUAUAAUUUGCCGGAAGCACCAUGUGGCGACUUCACUACACAUUUUUUCUGCCACUUAUGUGCUAAUUGCCAAGAAUACAGAGAGAUUCGUGAAAGGAAUUGCAACUCUAAUUCUGCUGAUGUUAAGCUGCCAGUGGUCACAGCUCCUUCAGUUCAGAUAAUGGAGUCGAAUAAUAUUUCAGAAUAAUACUAUUGCUGCUGGAAACUUGUGGUAGGACAAACAGAUGAUUGUUGCUGUGCUUGGC
rnacentral:misc_RNA from 1 species